UACGUAGGUGACAAGCGUUGUCCGGAUUUACUGGGCGUAAAGCGCGCGUAGGCGGACCUGCAAGUCGGGGGUGAAAGCCCGAGGCUCAACCUCGGAACUGCCUUCGAUACUGCGGGUCUCGAGUCCGGGAGAGGUGAGUGGAAUUCCUAGUGUAGAGGUGAAAUUCGUAGAUAUUAGGAAGAACACCAGUGGCGAAGGCGGCUCAGCUGGCCCGGUACUGACGGCCUGAGGCGCGAAAGCGUGGGGAGCAAACAGG
rnacentral:rRNA from 1 species